UACGUAGGUGGCAAGCGUUGUCCGGAUUUACUGGGCGUAAAGAGCGCGCAGGCGGUCGGAUAAGUCGAAUGUGAAAGCCCCCGGCUCAACUGGGGAGGGUCAUUCGAUACUGUCCGACUCGAAGGCAGGAGAGGGAAGCGGAAUUCCCGGUGUAGUGGUGAAAUGCGUAGAUAUCGGGAGGAACACCAGUGGCGAAGGCGGCUUUCUGGCCUGUUCUUGACGCUGAGGCGCGAAAGCCAGGGGAGCAAACGGG
rnacentral:rRNA from 1 species